rnacentral:rRNA from 1 species
UACGGAGGAUCCGAGCGUUAUCCGGAUUUAUUGGGUUUAAAGGGUGCGCAGGCGGGAGAUUAAGUCGGCGGUGAAAUUUUGCAGCUCAACUGUAAAAGUGCCUUCGAAACUGGUUUCCUUGAGUGUAGAUGAAGUAGGCGGAAUUUGUGGUGUAGCGGUGAAAUGCAUAGAUAUCACGAGGAACUCCGAUUGCUAAGGCAGCUUACUAAGCCAUAACUGACGCUCAAGCACGAAGGCGUGGGGAUCAAACAGGAUUAGAUACCCGGGUAGUCCCU